UACGUAGGGGGCAAGCGUUAUCCGGAUUUACUGGGUGUAAAGGGAGCGUAGACGGCUUUGCAAGCCAGAUGUGAAAGCCCGGGGCUCAACCCCGGGACUGCAGUUGGAACUGUGUGGCUAGAGUGUCGGAGAGGCAGGCGGAAUUCCUAGUGUAGCGGUGAAAUGCGUAGAUAUUAGGAGGAACACUAGUGGCGAAGGCGGCCUGCUGGACGAUGACUGACGUUGAGGCUCGAAAGCGUGGGGAGCAAACAGG
rnacentral:rRNA from 1 species